rnacentral:rRNA from 1 species
UGGGGAAUAUUGCGCAAUGGAGGAAACUCUGACGCAGCGACGCCGCGUGGGUGAUGAAGGCUUUCGGGUUGUAAAGCCCUGUCGGCUGGGAAAAAGAUAUUUGGUCUAAUACACCAAGUGUUUGAUGGUACCAGCAAAGGAAGUAGCGGCUAACUCUGUGCCAGCAGCCGCGGUAAUACAGAGGCUACGAGCGUUGUUCGGAAUUACUGGGCGUAAAGGGCGCGUAGGCGGCCUGAUAAGUCAGAUGUGAAAUCCCGGGGCUUAACUCCGGAAGUGCGUUUGAAACUGUCAGGCUUGAGUGCAGUAGAGGUUGGUGGAAUUCCCAGUGGAGAGGUGAAAUUCGUAGAUAUUGGGAGGAACACCGGUGGCGAAGGCGGCCAACUGGGCUGUAACUGACGCU